UACGUAGGGUCCGAGCGUUGUCCGGAAUUAUUGGGCGUAAAGGGCUCGUAGGCGGUUUGUCGCGUCGGGGAGUGAAAACCAGGUGCUUAACACCUGGCUUGCUUUCGAUACGGGCAGACUAGAGGUAUUCAGGGGAGAACGGAAUUCCUGGUGUAGCGGUGAAAUGCGCAGAUAUCAGGAGGAACACCGAUGGCGAAGGCAGGUCUCUGGGCCACUACUGACGCUGAGAAGCGAAAGCAUGGGGGAGCGAACAGG
rnacentral:rRNA from 1 species